GACAGAGGGGGCAAGCGUUGCUCGGAAUUACUGGGCGUAAAGGGCGCGUAGGCGGGAUGGCAAGUCGGUCGUGAAAUCCCUCGGCUCAACCGAGGAACGUCGAUCGAUACUGCUGUUCUUGAGGAUUGCAGAGGAGACUGGAAUUCCCGGUGUAGGGGUGAAAUGUGUAGAGAUCGGGAGGAACACCGGCGGCGAAGGCGGCUGCCUGGACCGGCCCUGACGCUGAGGCGCGAAAGCUAGGGGAGCAAACAGG
rnacentral:rRNA from 1 species